rnacentral:rRNA from 1 species
CCUACGGGUGACAGCAGUGGGGAAUAUUGGGCAAUGGGCGCAAGCCUGACCCAGCAACGCCGCGUGAAGGAAGAAGGCUUUCGGGUUGUAAACUUCUUUUCUCAGGGACGAAGCAAGUGACGGUACCUGAGGAAUAAGCCACGGCUAACUACGUGCCAGCAGCCGCGGUAAUACGUAGGUGGCAAGCGUUAUCCGGAUUUACUGGGUGUAAAGGGCGUGUAGGCGGGAAAGCAAGUCAGAUGUGAAAACCAUGGGCUCAACCUGUGGCCUGCAUUUGAAACUGUUUUUCUUGAGUACUGGGGAGGCAGACGGAAUUCCUAGGUUAGCGGGGAAAUGCGUAGAUAGUAGGAGGAACACCAGGGGAGAGGGCGGUCGGCUGGACAGCAACGGACGCUGAGGCGCGAAAGCGUGGGGAGCAAACAGGAGUAGAUACCCUAGUAGUC